AUUGAACGCUGGCGGCACGCCUAACACAUGCAAGUCGAGCGGCAGCGCGAUAUGUAGCAAUACAUAUUGGCGGCGAGCGGCGGACGGGUGAGGAACACGUAGGAACCUACCCUCGAGUGGGGGAUAACCAAGGGAAACUUUGGCUAAUACCGCAUGAACUCGAGAGAGCAAAGCUGCCGCAAGGUGGCGCUCGAGGAGGGGCCUGCGUCCGAUUAGCUAGUUGGUGAGGUAAGAGCUCACCAAGGCGAUGAUCGGUAACUGGUCUGAGAGGACGACCAGUCACACUGGGACUGAGACACGGCCCAGACUCCUACGGGAGGCAGCAGUGGGGAAAAUUGGACAAUGGGGACAACCCUGAUCCAGCGAUGCCGCGUGAGUGAAGAAGGCCUUCGGGUCGUAAAGCUCUUUAGGUUGGGAAGAAGGGUGAUGGAGGAAAUGCUAUCACUUUGACGGUACCGACAGAAUAAGCACCGGCAAACUCUGUGCCAGCCGCCGCCGUAAGAC
rnacentral:rRNA from 1 species